GAUGAACGCUGGCGGCGUGCCUAAUACAUGCAAGUAGAACGCUGAAGCUUGGUGCUUGCCCCGAGCGGAUGAGUUGCGAACGGGUGAGUAACGCGUAGGUAACCUGCCUCUUAGCGGGGGAUAACUAUUGGAAACGAUAGCUAAUACCGCAUAAAAGUCGAUAUCGCAUGAUAUUGAUUUGAAAGGUGCAAAUGCAUCACUAAGAGAUGGACCUGCGUUGUAUUAGCUAGUUGGUGAGGUAACGGCUCACCAAGGCGACGAUACAUAGCCGACCUGAGAGGGUGAUCGGCCACACUGGGACUGAGACACGGCCCAGACUCCUACGGGAGGCAGCAGUAGGGAAUCUUCGGCAAUGGGGGCAACCCUGACCGAGCAACGCCGCGUGAGUGAAGAAGGGUUUCGGAUCGUAAAGCUCUGUUGUAAGAGAAGAACGAGUGUGAGAGUGGAAAGUUCACACUGUGACGGUAACUUACCAGAAAGGGACGGCUAACUACGUG
rnacentral:rRNA from 1 species